ACUUAUAUAAUUUAAAUAGAAUACUACAUUGAAGCUGUAGAAGAGAUAAUUAUCUAUAAGUA
rnacentral:tRNA from 1 species